GGUGGCGUGGCCUAAUGGUAAGGCGUUGCUUUCCGGUUACAUUCUGAUGUUCCCAAGGGGACUGGCAAAGACUGUGGGUUCGAGUCCCAUCGCCAUCG
rnacentral:tRNA from 1 species